AAUCUGUCUCUGAAAUUAUGGCAU
rnacentral:piRNA from 1 species